rnacentral:rRNA from 1 species
UACGAAGGGGGCUAGCGUUGUUCGGAUUUAUUGGGCGUAAAGCGCGCGCAGGCGGAUUAUCAAGUCAGAUGUGAAAUCUCGGGGCCUAACCCCGAAACUGCGUCUGAAACUGGUAAUCUAGAAUCUCGGAGGGGGCAGGGGAAUUUCUCAUGUAGGGGUAAAAUCCGUAGAGAUGAGAAGGAACACCAGAGGCGAAGGCGCCUGCCUGGACGAGUAUUGACGCUGAGGCGCGAAAGUGUGGGGAGCAAACAGG